rnacentral:pre_miRNA from 1 species
UAUAAGGGAUUUUGAGUUUUUGUUUGUAACAUUUGACCACUCGUCUUAUUUAAAAAUUUUUAAAAUUAUUAUUUAUUUUAUUUAUGACUUACUUUAUUAUCUAUAGUAUUUUAAGAAUAAUUUUUUGUUUUUUAUAUUUGCAAAAAGAAUUUGAAUAAGACGAGUGAUCAAACGUUGCAAUCAAAAACUCAAAAUCUCUUAUA